rfam:Allomyces macrogynus ATCC 38327 genomic scaffold supercont3.29, whole genome shotgun sequence.
GCACUGUUGGUGAAAUGGUAUCACGGAACCCCCCCAAGGCUCCGGCCCGGGUUUGAUUCCCGGACAGUGCA